rnacentral:tRNA from 1 species
AAACUUAGGAUAAUCACCCUAUAAACCGAAG